GUGCUUGCUUCAGCAGCAUGUAUACUAAAAUUGGAAUAAUAUAGAGAAGAUUAGCAUGGUCCCUGCUUAAGGAUGCCGUGCACAUUCUUGAAGCAAUCCACAUUUUU